GCAGGAGUGGCGUAAUUGGUAGCCGCGUGUGCCUUAGAAGCAYAUGUCCUAGUGACGUGAGGGUUCAAGUCCCUCCUCCUGUA
rnacentral:tRNA from 1 species